AAUGAACGCUGGCGGCAGGCCUAACACAUGCAAGUCGAACGGAUCCUUCGGGAUUAGUGGCGGACGGGUGAGUAACGCGUGGGAACAUACCCUUUGGUACGGAAUAGCCUCGGGAAACUGGGAGUAAUACCGUAUGUGGUCGAGAGACGAAAGAUUUAUCGCCAAAGGAUUGGCCCGCGUUGGAUUAGGUAGUUGGUGGGGUAAUGGCCUACCAAGCCGACGAUCCAUAGCUGGUUUGAGAGGAUGAUCAGCCACACUGGGACUGAGACACGGCCCAGACUACUACGGGAGGCAACAGUGGGGAAUCUUAGACAGUGGGGGAAACCCUGAUCUAGCCGUGCCGCGUGAUCGAUGAAGGCCUUAGGGUUGUAAAGAUCUUUUACCAGGGAUGAUAAUGACAGUACCUGGAGAAUAAGCUCCGGCUAACUCCGUGCCAGCCGCCGCAGUAA
rnacentral:rRNA from 1 species